ACUUGCUGAUGUGGCCAUUUUUGAAGUAGAUCCCUAAAGAGCUCCUAUGUCUUGAAAAAGAGUUCCCCAUCCAUCUGUGAUAAACUUGUGAUGGCUCUCCGAAGCU